AGUGAACGCUGGCGGUAGGCCUAACACAUGCAAGCCGAACGGCAGCACAGGAGAGCUUGCUCUCUGGGUGGCGAGUGGCGGACGGGUGAGGAAUACAUCGGAAUCUACUCUGUCGUGGGGGAUAGCGUAGGGAAACUUGCGCUAAUACCGCAUACGACCUACGGGUGAAAGCAGGGGAUCUUCGGACCUUGCGCGAUUGAAUGAGCCGAUGUCGGAUUAGCUAGUUGGCGGGGUAAAGGCCCACCAAGGCGACGAUCCGUAGCGGGUCUGAGAGGAUGAUCAGCCACACUGGAACUGAGACACGGUCCAGACUCCUACGGGAGGCAGCAGUGGGGAAUAUUGGACAAUGGGCGCAAGCCUGAUCCAGCCAUACCGCGUGGGUGAAGAAGGCCUUCGGGUUGUAAAGCCCUUUUGUUGGGAAAGAAAUCCAGCUGGCUAAUACCCGGUUGGGAUGACGGUACCCAAAGAAUAAGCACCGGCUAACUUCGUGCCAGCCGCCGCGGUAA
rnacentral:rRNA from 1 species